GGGGCGCGGAGCCGAGCCGGGGGCUACGACUAGCCGGGGAUGCGCCUACGCCCGCGCCCGCCAGCCUCACUUUCCCCGUCUGCCCCGGGGGGCAGGGGGCAGGAACAGCAUCCCGAGAUUCCAGGAGGGGGCCAUAGAGGGCCUAUCUGUUGGCUGUCCUCGAUCCACUGUGGCAGCUCCAUAAGAGCAGGGCUCCAUGAGGGGUCUGGUGUGAAUGAAUGAAUUCUCUUCUGCAUCCUGUCUCAUCUGCCAGCCUCCAUCUGCAAACUUCAGUAGAGCUCAACGUCCUGCAGCUAAGGCAGCUGCCCUGCACACCCCCCACACAAAGCCCUGCCAGAGGCCUUAAAGCCAUGGCCUUAACACUGGCCCUUGCCCUUAAACGCUGGCCAGGACAGGGCCCAGCGUCUCAGCCACCUCCUCCUCUGUCAUGCAGUCUUUACCAUGCCCCUGGAAGCACAGAGCAGUUUAUGUUACUGCAUUAUUGUGUAUACACAAGCCUCUUUUUUUUAAAUAUUUAUUUAUUCAUCAGAGACAGAGAGAGAGAGAGAGAGAGGCAGAGACACAGGCAGAGGGAGAAACAGGCUCCAUGCAGGGAUCCCAAUGUGGGACUCAAUCCUGGGACUCCAGGAUCAUGCCCUGGGCCGAAGGCAGGCGCUAAACUGCUGAGCACCCAGGCAUCCCUUACACGAGUCUCUUAAAUUUAGUUAUUGUGAGGCCUUCUCAGAAGACUGAUCAGGCCUCAGAACAACUUAAAAAAAAAAAAAAAAAAGGAGUUUCUCUCUCUGCAAACAAAGGCUGGGUUGCAGAGAGCUCUGGAGGGUGAAGA